UGGGGAAUAUUGGACAAUGGGGGCAACCCUGAUCCAGCAAUGCCGCGUGUGUGAAGAAGGUCUUCGGAUUGUAAAGCACUUUCGACGGGGACGAUGAUGACGGUACCCGUAGAAGAAGCCCCGGCUAACUUCGUGCCAGCAGCCGCGGUAAUACGAAGGGGGCUAGCGUUGCUCGGAAUGACUGGGCGUAAAGGGCGUGCAGGCGGUUUACACAGUCAGAUGUGAAAUCCCCGGGCUUAACCUGGGAGCUGCAUUUGAUACGUGUAGACUAGAGUGUGAGAGAGGGUUGUGGAAUUCCCAGUGUAGAGGUGAAAUUCGUAGAUAUUGGGAAGAACACCGGUGGCGAAGGCGGCAACCUGGCUCAUGACUGACGCUGAGGCGCGAAAGCGUGGGGAGCAAACAGGAUUAGAUACCCUGGUAGUCCACGCUGUAAACGAUGUGUGCUAGAUGUUGGGUAACUUUGUUAUUCAGUGUCGCAGUUAACGCGUU
rnacentral:rRNA from 1 species